CUUCAAGCACCAGCGACUGGAUGUCAUUGUCUGUAAUCCGUUUUAUGUGGCCGUUCCUGACCUAUUGCACAAGCAACAUUUUGAAAUGGCAGUUAAUGUAGGCCCAGGAGACCCCGAUAAACAUCACUGCCAGGGGGAAGGAGGAGGAAAGGUGGCUGAGAUGCUGCCGAAGAGCGGGGCUGAUGUCAACGCAGAGCACGAGAUUGGGGAGACAGCGAUGCAUGUUGCGGCUCACCAUGGAGGACUGCAGAUGAUAAGAGCCCUGAUAGAGGAGGGAAGUGACCUCACCAGGAGAUAUUAGGUAAAGUAGAACACUGCUUUACUGUGUCAUACCAGUGUAACAUUGACAUAUAAUACACCACGUUUUGUGUGUGUGUGUGUGUGUGAUAGGCUGGAGAGAACCCUCACCGUGUCGCUGUGCGACACUGUCACGCCCAUGUGGUGGAGGAGAUCCUCACCUAUGUGUCCGAAUGAGAGAAGCUGUGAGGAGGCCCAGUGCUGUGUGAGCCAGGGCAACAAGAGUCUUUUAUCCAAGCGACUCACAGUCAUCCGUGCCUACAUUUUCAUAUUGGUGGUCCCGGCGGGAAUCAAACCUACAAUUCUGCCGUUGCAAGCGUCGUGCUGACAGCCACACGGGACCAGAGGAUGGGAUAGCGUUUCUAUUAUAUAAAUAGUACACUGAUCGUUGUUCUAUUAUAGAAAUGUUUUACCUACAAGGAUUCCCUACCAACUUUUUUGUCAUAGAUCUUAUGCCCCCAUAGGAUCCUUUUGUGACACUCUACCUAUCCGUUCCCUAUUAUAGAAAUGUCAGCAUAAACUCAUAAAUAAAAAAU